rnacentral:lncRNA from 1 species
UACUGCAUAUCCAUUCCAGUUCACUGUCCCAGUCAAGGAUCUGUCUCGAACUGCCCAGCCAACAACAAAUUCUAGACCAUAAACUCUUAGUAACGCAACAUUCGAAAUAUAGGUGCUGGAAGGUUUCCACCUGUUGGUUGCAAAACACACACAGCGAAGGAUUUGAAUACCAUAGUUGGCUAAUCUAUCCAUAGUAGGUAACCUUCUUUGGGCAGCCAGCCAAGCAAUAAAUUUAUGUCGAGGCAGGACAUUUGUAACUAAAAGUAAAUUCCUCC